GCGGACGGGUGAGUAACACGUGGGAACGUGCCUUUAGGUUCGGAAUAACUCAGGGAAACUUGUGCUAAUACCGAAUGUGCCCUUCGGGGGAAAGAUUUAUCGCCUUUAGAGCGGCCCGCGUCUGAUUAGCUAGUUGGUGAGGUAAUGGCUCACCAAGGCGACGAUCAGUAGCUGGUCUGAGAGGAUGAUCAGCCACAUUGGGACUGAGACACGGCCCAAACUCCUACGGGAGGCAGCAGUGGGGAAUCUUGCGCAAUGGGCGAAAGCCUGACGCAGCCAUGCCGCGUGAAUGAUGAAGGUCUUAGGAUUGUAAAAUUCUUUCACCGGGGACGAUAAUGACGGUACCCGGAGAAGAAGCCCCGGCUAACUUCGUGCCAGCAGCCGCGGUAAUACGAAGGGGGCUAGCGUUGCUCGGAAUUACUGGGCGUAAAGGGAGCGUAGGCGGACAUUUAAGUCAGGGGUGAAAUCCCGGGGCUCAACCUCGGAAUUGCCUUUGAUACUGGGUGUCUUGAGUAUGAGAGAGGUGUGUGGAACUCCGAGUGUAGAGGUGAAAUUCGUAGAUAUUCGGAAGAACACCAGUGGCGAAGGCGACACACUGGCUCAUUACUGACGCUGAGGCUCGAAAGCGUGGGGAGCAAACAGGAUUAGAUACCCUGGUAGUCCACGCCGUAAACGAUGAUUGCUAGUUGUCGGGAUGCAUGCAUUUCGGUGACGCAGCUAACGCAUUAAGCAAUCCGCCU
rnacentral:rRNA from 1 species